rnacentral:rRNA from 1 species
UACGUAGGGGGCAAGCGUUGUUCGGAAUUACUGGGCGUAAAGCGCGCGUAGGCGGCGCGGUCAGUCGGGUGUGAAAGCCCCGGGCUCAACCCGGGAAUGGCACUCGAUACUGCCGUGCUGGAGUACGGAAGAGGCGGUCGGUAUUCCCAGUGUAGCGGUGAAAUGCGUAGAUAUUGGGAGGAACACCGGGUGCGAAGGCGGGCCGCUGGGCCGAUACUGACGCUGAGGCGCGAAAGCCAGGGGAGCGAACGGG